rnacentral:rRNA from 1 species
GAUGAACGCUGGCGGCGUGCCUAAUACAUGCAAGUCGAACGCACAGCGAAAGGUGCUUGCACCUUUCAAGUGAGUGGCGAACGGGUGAGUAACACGUGGACAACCUGCCUCAAGGCUGGGGAUAACAUUUGGAAACAGAUGCUAAUACCGAAUAAAACUUAGUGUCGCAUGACACAAAGUUAAAAGGCGCUUCUGCGUCACCUAGAGAUGGAUCCGCGGUGCAUUAGUUAGUUGGUGGGGUAAAGGCCUACCAAGACAAUGAUGCAUAGCCGAGUUGAGAGACUGAUCGGCCACAUUGGGACUGAGACACGGCCCAAACUCCUACGGGAGGCUGCAGUAGGGAAUCUUCCACAAUGGGCGAAAGCCUGAUGGAGCAACGCCGCGUGUGUGAUGAAGGCUUUCGGGUCGUAAAGCACUGUUGUAUGGGAAGAACAGCUAGAAUAGGAAAUGAUUUUAGUUUGACGGUACCAUACCAGAAAGGGACGGCUAAAUACGUG